AUACUUACCUGGCAGGGGAGAUACCAUGAUCUCAAAGGUGGUUUUCCCAGGGCAAGGCUCAUCCAUUGCACUCCAAAUGUGCUGAUCCCUGCAAUUUCCUCAAAUGUAGGAAACCCAACGGCAUAAUGUGUAGCAGUGGGAGACUGUGUUCACGCUUUCCUC
rnacentral:snRNA from 10 species